GUGACGAAUGCCUGUGGAACUACAGCACUUCCAGGUCGCGGGUUCGACCCCCGCCGGAGCAGCAGCUCCGUAGUUCAGCGGACAGUACGGGAAGAUAGGUUUCACAACAGACUUGUCGUCACAUC
rnacentral:Y_RNA from 1 species